GACAUGGCUCAGGAUGAACGCUAGCUACAGGCUUAACACAUGCAAGUCGAGGGGCAGCAUGGUCUUAGCUUGCUAAGGCCGAUGGCGACCGGCGCACGGGUGAGUAACACGUAUCCAACCUGCCGUCUACUCUUGGACAGCCUUCUGAAAGGAAGAUUAAUACAAGAUGGCAUCAUGAGUUCACAUGUUCACAUGAUUAAAGGUACUCCGGUAGACGAUGGGGA
rnacentral:rRNA from 1 species